rnacentral:rRNA from 1 species
UAAUACCAGCUCCCCGAGUGGUCGGGACGAUUAUUUGGCCUAAAAUAUCCGUAGCCGGCCUAGUAGGUCUUUUGUUAAAUCCAACAGCUUAACUGUUGGGCCGCAGGAGAUACCGCUAGGCUAGGAGGUAGGAGAGGCUGACGGUAUUCCUAGGGUAGGGGUAAAAUCCUCUGAUCCUAGGAGGACCACCAGUGGCGAAGGCGGUCAGCCAGAAUGCGCUCGACGGUGAGGGAUGAAAGCUGGGGGAGCGAACCGGAUUAGAUACCCGGGUAGUCCCAGCUGUAAACGAUGCAGGCUAGGUGAUAGGAUGGCUAUGGGCUAUCCUAGUGCCACAGGGAAGCCGUUAAGCCUGCUGCCUGGGGAGUACGGCUGCAAGGCUGAAACUUAAAGGAAUUGGCGGGGGAGCACCACAAGGGGUGAAGCCUGCGGUUC